CGGCUCUACAGGAUGUAAAACAGGAAACAUGAAAGAAAUAAUAAUAAUAAUAAUAAUGAUAAUACAUCAUUUAUGAAAGGUGAAUACUUUCCCAUCAUUGAGCAAGAUUUGAUUGAUUGAUUGCGUCGCCACAGUAAAACACAGAGGUUAAUUUAAAGUUAGCCCCAGCUCGCUGCUCGGCCGACAACCCAAGACAUGCGCACAUCUCAAUCAACAACAAAACAAAUUGUGGCCAAUCGAUCCCUAUUUUAAUUCAAACACCCACCCUCC